AUGAACGCUGGCGGCGUGCCUAAUACAUGCAAGUCGAGCGAACGGACGAGAAGCUUGCUUCUCUGAUGUUAGCGGCGGACGGGUGGGUAACACGUGGAUAACCUACCUAUAAGACUGGGAUAACUUCGGGAAACCGGAGCUAAUACCGGAUAAUAUUUUGAACCGCAUGGUUCAAAAGUAAAAGACGGUCUUGCUGUCACUUAUAGAUGGAUCCGCGCUGCAUUAGCUAGUUGGUAAGGUAACGGCUUACCAAGGCAACGAUGCAUAGCCGACCUGAGAGGGUGAUCGGCCACACUGGAACUGAGACACGGUCCAGACUCCUACGGGAGGCAGCAGUAGGGAAUCUUCCGCAAUGGGCGAAAGCCUGACGGAGCAACGCCGCGUGAGUGAUGAAGGUCUUCGGAUCGUAAAACUCUGUUAUUAGGGAAGAACAUAUGUGUAAGUAACUGUGCACAUCUUGACGGUACCUAAUCAGAAAGCCACGGCUAACUACGUG
rnacentral:rRNA from 1 species